UCUCUAUUCAAUGUAUCUUCUUGAUAGCCUUUUCAGAAAUCAUUUGCUAUAUGUAUGUGGAUUAAUUUCUAGGUUCUCUAUUCUGUUCCAGUGAUCUGUGUGUCAGUUUUUGUGCUAGUGAAACGUGGUAUAAAUUUCUAAAGCUGUGUAGUAUGCUUUGAAAUUAGAUAUUGUGAUGCCUGUGGCUUGGAUGUUUUUUUCACCUCUGGAUCACUUUGGCUAUUCUGGUUCUUUGUGGUCCCACAUGACUUUUAGGAAUUUUUUUUCAAGUUCUAUAAAGAAUUUCACUUGUAUUUUAAUAGGGAUUGCAUUGAAUCUGUGGAUUGCUUUGGGUAGUAGGAACUUUUUAAUGAAGUUAAUUCUUCCAACAGAUAAACAAUGGAAAUCUUUCCUCAUUUGGGUCUUUGAUUGCUUCUUUCAUUGGUGGUUUACAGUUUUCAUUGUAGAGAUCUUUUACUUCUUUGGUUAAUUUUAUUCUUAAAUAUUUAAUUUUUGUAGCUAUUGUGAGUGGGAUUUCUUUCUUGAUUUCCCUUUCAUCAAAUUCAUUAUUGGUGUAUAAAUGCUACUUGUUUGCAUGCUGAGUUUGUACCCUGAAACUUUACAGAUUUGGUUUAUCAGUUCUAAUAGCAUUUUUGGUGGAGUGUUUAGGUUUUUCCAUGUACAAAAUCAUGUCAUCAGCAAACAUGAAUAUUUUACUUCCUCUUUUUCCAAUUUUGAUGCCCUUUAUUUCCUUCCCUUCCUUAAUAGUUCUUGCUAAUAUUUCCAGUUCUAUAUUGAAUAAGGGUGGUGAAAGUGGACAUUAUCCUCUUCUCCUAGAAUUAAGGGGAAAUGCUUUCAGUUUUCCUCAUUAAUUAUGAAUGAUACUGACUCUGGAUUUGUCAUCGAUAGCCUUUAUAAUUUUGAGGUAGUCCUCCAAAACUGUGGGUUCCACCUCUGUGGAUUCAAUCAAUCGUAAAGCAAAACCAUACAGAAAAAAAAAAACUCCCUGGUACUGAAGCCUAACUACACCUCGUGGCCUAAGUCGGAUUAUGCUGCACAACAAACUGCUCACAAGCGGAAAACUAAAAAGAGUCUCCAUCUGUCCACACAGCUUGCUGAUGAGGAUCAAGGCAGUGCGGAAGCUAAGCUGGGCUCCAGGGCACCACAAGGCCUGGCAGGCUCUGCAGCCCCACAUACCCUGCAGCUGAAGGAAGGCUGGCCCUAGCAGAAGGAGCAUGAAGGAGGGAGGCACAGGGAGAGGCACCCGGACAGUUCUGCCACCGAGUGAUGCUCUGCUCUGAAACUCAGGUUGCAAUUUGAACCUUUUCUUGAUGGGAGUACUGUGGGGAGCAACUGGGAGCAACUCGGACUAGACUAAGUUACUGGAAUUAAGACUUAUUCUAUGCAUCUGCUCUCCCACAAUAUGGCGCUGGGAGAGGAGGAAACAGCUUCUACACAGCUGCCUCCAGUUCAACCAAUAAACAGCAGGACCUGCUCCUGAUUGGAGGAGAGCAGCGUACUCGGCGUGUGGGUAGCAGAGUUGGGAUUGGUGGAAGAGGACUAUAAAGGAGGAGAGAGACAACAUGCACCAGGAACAUCUGAGGGAACGCCUGUGCAGCCCCCGAGAGAGCCGGCCGGCGGUGUGCCGCUCCCCUGCAGAAGUGGGGAAAGUGGCUAGGGGGAACCGCCCUUCCACGGAGGUGGAAGGGUCGGUAGCCAACCCGGGAAGAACCAGCAGCAAACCCGGGAAGGGCCGAGCAGACAAAAGAACAGCGCAGGGUCCUGUGUCGUUACUCCACGAAGAGGGGGAGCAACAGAGUACCAUCUAAAGAACCCAUCAGCAGGGAAUUAAUGAUCUAUGGAUUUCCAUCUUGGUUGGAGUGACAAAAUCUGCAUCUCUGACCUUUUUGAAGCUAACCAAGAACAACCUAGGACACUCCAAAAGAUGGAAGGAGGCCAGAAGAGGAGCCAACAGAGUAGCCCCUCGAGAUUUUAUGGUGCAAUGCAAAUCAAACAGAAAGUGCACAUUGUGUUUAUAUAUAUAAACAUCCAUAUUUAAGGGUAUGUCCAAACAUUCAUGGAAAAUGGAAUUAAAAGUUGUUUAUUUUGGGGUAAAAGCAUUUGUGGGUAUUGUGAAGCAAUUAAGUCCUCAUUUCAUAUGCCCACAUCCCACAUCAGAGUGCUGACUCAAGUCCUGGCUUCCCAAGCUUCUGGUCCAGCUUUCUUCUAAUGUACCUGGGAGGCAGCAGAUGCUGGCCCAAGUACUUGGAUUCCUGCCUCCCUCAAAGGAGACCUUGGUGGAGUCCCUGACUCCUGGCUUUGGCCUGGCCCAACCCUAACUGUUGAGGGCAUUUGGGAAAUGAAUCACCAGAUCGAAGAUUUUUCUCUUUCUCUGUCUCUGUGUCACUAGGCCUUUCAAAUAAAUAAAUCUCUAAAAAAAUA